rnacentral:rRNA from 1 species
AUUGAACGCUGGCGGCAGGCCUAACACAUGCAAGUCGAACGAGUGGCGGACGGGUGAGUAAUGUCUGGGAAACUGCCCGAUGGAGGGGGAUAACUACGGGAAACGGUAGCUAAUAACGCAUACCAUCGGCUGAGCCCAGAUGGGAUUCGGUAGUAGGUGGGGUAACGGCUAACCUAGGCCACGAUACCUAGCUGGUCUGAGAGGAUGACCAGCCACACUGGAACUGAGACACGGUCCAGACUCCUACGGGAGGCAGCAGUGGGGAAUAUUGCACAAUGGGCGAAAGCCUGAUGCAGCCAUGCCGCGUGUAUGAAGAAGGCCUUCGGGUUGUAAAGUACUUUCAGCGAGGAGGCGUUACUCGCAGAAGAAGCACCGGCUAACUCCGUGCCAGCAGCCGCGGUAAUAC